rnacentral:tRNA from 1 species
CAAAAGGUAGUAUAUUUAUUACAAUUCGUUUACACCGAAUAAAAGGUCUCACAUCCCUUUUGA